rnacentral:lncRNA from 1 species
AGUUGAGGGACCAUUGCUCCAAUUUGAUUAAAGUUGAGGGACCAUUUGUACAAUUUACUCUUUCUAAAAUCCUCUAUGCUGAUGAGUCGGCCUCUGGCAUCUUUGACAAGUCAAAGGCCAAUUUGGGUCCAAGUGGAUUUCGUAAAGGAACAAGGCCAGACAAGCUUUGCCUCUAAGUUUUCCAAACCCUAAUUAACCCAAGGUGUUAAUUUACCUAUUUAGAUUUCAAAAAAGGGUUAUGCAUCCCAGCAAAUACGUGCACUUGCAGACUGUCCAGAUAACGCACUCGUGAGGCGGCGAUAUUAUCCUUGAUCACAACCUAAUUGAUUUAUCAACUAGUUAAUCAAUUAAGAUGAUCGCAGACGAGUUCAACAAUUAUUCAAUGUUUUAUUACUCAAUAAUAAUCAUCACAAAAAGAAGAAAAAGCUCAAGUAGUCAAUUACCAAAAUAUAGAUGCAUUGAGCCUAGCCACAAAAAACCAAAUGCUUCACUUAUGUAAGAGAACCCAAGGAAAAGUUGUUUUUGAGGCUAAAGGAAUGAUGCAUCUUUCCUUCUUGUGAAAUGAAUUACAUGUAACAGGAAUUAUCGAUAUCAUGAUUUUUCAAAUUAAUAAUACAGAAUAUAUAGAUUUUUAUUGUUGUAUUUAUCUAAAAGGUGUUUAAAGUAAAGGUAUUGAGUGAGAACUUACGAUGGUAUUCCCUGGGACCCAUAUGACUUUACAACUUAUUACCUGAGCACCAACAUUUGACUUGGUUAAGGUAUAAGAUCGGAAAUAUUCUGUAAUCAAUAACUUUGUCAUCUUUUAAAAUCCAACCAAUACUAAUAUUAUAAUCCUCAAUUAGUUUGAUAAAGUUUGUACUAAUUCAUGUAUCGGCGACAUCUACCGCACAAAUCCCAUGUACCGGUUACAUCUGUUAUACUGAAAUGAUGGAAAAACUUCAUCUUAGCUAGCAUUUGAUGAUGAUAUCAAACUUAUCUUUUGUUCAUUUUCAUCUAGAUAGAUAGUUUGAAGAAUAAACACUUAGUAUGCAUAAAACAAACCAAGUAAUUUCAAGGAGCACUCGGAGAACUUUGUAGAAAAUAGAGAAGUAAAUUUUCAAAAAGAUAUAUUGUUGCAGAUCAAAUUCACCAUCUAUUAACGGGCGAUCAGCCAUAUUCAAUGAUGAUUUUAUGUUAAAAUAGAAACAAUUUAGAAAAAGAUCAAACUUAUUGAUUGAUAUUGUUUGAAAUGAAUGAAGAUAAAAGAGGAAGCGUACUCUCAUACUAACAGACUACAACCAUCUUGUAACAAUAUGUUGGUGCAUUCUUAAUCUUUACUAACUAAUAAAAUCCUUUUUGUCAACCAAAAAAGGGUGAAAAGACAAAUUAGACUUCUAUCACAAAAAAAAAAACGAUGGGCUAUAAUGUAAUUUCACAAGUCUAAAGUUUAAUGUUUUUAUUGAAUACCUCCAAUAUUAAAAAAAAAAACAAAAAACUGAAAACAAAAACCUCCCACUCCCCCACGUGCUCUCUCUCCCUCUCUCCCUCUCUCCUCAUUUUCUAAAAACAAUGUGUUUAUACACAUAAAGUGUAUAGGCAAAUGCUCGUAUUAAAUAAAUUAACUAUUUGUUAUUCGGAAACUAAGAUGAUUGUUAUUAUUUGUUGUUAGUGGGAAAUUCAAAUUCAAUCUUUUAACCUUCUUAUGCAACUUUGUAACUCUUUCCUUGUUGUUUUAUGUUUAUUACCCUAUUCACUCAUGGUGAUAAUAAACUUAUAUUAUUCACUAACCAAUAUCUUCUACAACUAUUAUAUUGUCAAUUUUCUCCAUCUUUUUUUAUUGUUACUUAUUGGCCAAAUAAAGGUGUUCGUGUGGUGGAGCUUUGGACUCUUCAUUGUGUGCAGAUAGGUUUGAGUCACACAACGAUCCAGGGCUGUUGUAUCUUGGAUUGGACAUAUCAAGGGAUAUAUUGUUGCACUGGUUCAUGGACGUUGUCAAAUUGCAGUGAGCUUGAACUCCUUAAAGAGAGCGAGAUACUCGUGCCUCAGCCUAAUUGUCAGCAUGCUUCUUAAGGAGAUUCAAGCAAUUUUAAGGAGAUUCAAUUCAUGGAGCCUGCACCUAAGAAGUCAUUCGACAAUAUUGGAGAUCUCAACAAGUCAUUAUAUUUCAAGGGAAUUCAUUCCAAGAUGUGGAAGGGGAAAGUCCUUUUUCUAUCUCAAUCUUUUCAGGGCGCGUUUAUUAAUCUGUAAUCAAAUUAAGAGGAAUUGAAUUGAGGAGGAAUUGAAAUGAGGUGGAAUCUGAAUCAGAUUCAUGUUGAAGUUGUUUACUAAAACUGUCUGGAAUAAGAGUAGGAAUUAUGUUGAGUCCAUAUAAGUUGUUUACUAAUUCACUUCAAUUGAAAUGAAAACUAAGUUUAUUACUAUAUUGCCCUUACAUAAAUAAAUUAUUUUCAUACUAAUUAAUUAAAUUUAUAUAAUAGGAUAAAUAAAAAAAAUGUAAAAAAUAAAUAGGAGAGGAAAUAAAUAGGAUAAUUAAAUUUAUAUCAUCAUCUUCCCCACAUCAUCACGCAUUAAUUUUCUCUUUCUUCUUUCUCCUCCUCCUCUUCCUCCAUUUUCUGUCUUUAAUUACAGAACCCUUAGUCCAUAGUAUUCAGAACCCCCACCCCGCAGCUUGGGGUAUUUAUCCAGAACCCCCA